rnacentral:rRNA from 1 species
UACGGAAGGGGCAAGCGUUGUUCGGAAUCAUUUGGGCGUAAAGGGGCGCGCAGGCGGCUGCUCAAGUCAGGCGUGAAAGGCCUGGGCUCAACCCGGGAAUUGCGCUUGAGACUGGGCUGGCUUGAGUGCGGGAGAGGAUGGUGGAAUUCCCAGUGUAGAGGUGAAAUUCGUAGAUAUUGGGAAGAACACCAGUGGCGAAGGCGGCUUUCUGGACGGUAACUGACGGCUGAGGCGGCGAAAGCGUGGGGAGCAAACAGG